rnacentral:rRNA from 1 species
UACGUAGGGCGCAAGCGUUUAUCCGGAAUUAUUGGGCGUAAAGAGCUCGUAGGCGGUUUGUCGCGUCUGCCGUGAAAGUCCGGGGGCUCAACUCCGGAUCUGCGGUGGGUACGGGCAGACUAGAGUGAUGUAGGGGAGACUGGAAUUCCUGGUGUAGCGGUGAAAUGCGCAGAUAUCAGGAGGAACACCGGUGGCGAAGGCGGUUCUCUGGGCAUUACCUGACGCUGAGGAGCGAAAGUGUGGGGGAGCGAACAGG